rnacentral:rRNA from 1 species
UACGUAGGGGCCUAGCGUUGUCCGGAAUUAUUGGGCGUAAAGAGCUCGUAGGCGGUUCGGCAAGUCGGAUGUGAAAUCUCCACGCUUAACGUGGAGGGGCCAUUCGAAACUGCCGUGACUCGAGUCCGGUAGGGGAGUGUGGAAUUCCCGGUGUAGCGGUGAAAUGCGCAGAUAUCUGGAGGAACACCGGUGGCGAAGGCGGCAUCCUGGACCAACACUGACACUGAUGAGCGAAAGCCAGGGGAGCAAACGGG